GAUGAACGCUGGCGGCGUGCUUAACACAUGCAAGUCGAACGGAAAGGCUCCUGCUUGCAGGGGUACUCGAGUGGCGAACGGGUGAGUAACACGUGGGUGAUCUGCCCUGCACUUCGGGAUAAGCCUGGGAAACUGGGUCUAAUACCGGAUAGGACCACAUUUUGGAUGGCGUGGUGGAAAGUUUUUCGGUGUGGGAUGAGCUCGCGGCCUAUCAGCUUGUUGGUGGGGUAAUGGCCUACCAAGGCGUCGACGGGUAGCCGGCCUGAGAGGGUGUACGGCCACAUUGGGACUGAGAUACGGCCCAGACUCCUACGGGAGGCAGCAGUGGGGAAUAUUGCACAAUGGGCGCAAGCCUGAUGCAGCGACGCCGCGUGGGGGAUGACGGCCUUCGGGUUGUAAACUCCUUUCGCUAGGGACGAAGCGCAAGUGACGGUACCUGGAGAAGAAGCACCGGCUAACUACGUG
rnacentral:rRNA from 1 species